rnacentral:rRNA from 1 species
CCUACGGGAGGCAGCAGUGGGGAAUUUUGGACAAUGGGGGCAACCCUGAUCCAGCCAUGCCGCGUGAGUGAAGAAGGCCUUCGGGUUGUAAAGCUCUUUCGGCCGGGAAGAAAUCGUGUGGGCUAAUACCUCACAUGGAUGACGGUACCGGAAUAAGAAGCACCGGCUAACUACGUGCCAGCAGCCGCGGUAAUACGUAGGGUGCGAGCGUUAAUCGGAAUUACUGGGCGUAAAGCGUGCGCAGGCGGUUUUUUAAGAUAGGCGUGAAAUCCCCGGGCUUAACCUGGGAACUGCGCUUAUGACUGGAAGACUAGAGUACGGCAGAGGGGGGUGGAAUUCCACGUGUAGCAGUGAAAUGCGUAGAGAUCGGGAGGAACACUCGUGGCGAAGGCGGCCACCUGGACCAGUACUGACGCUGAGGCACGAAAGCGUGGGGAGCAAACAGGAUUAGAUACCCUGGUAGUCCACGCCCUAAACGAUGCGAACUGGAUGUUGGGCUCACUUCGGAGCUCAGUAUCGAAGCUAACGCGUUAAGUUCGCCGCCUGGGGAGUACGGUCGCAAGACUGAAACUCAAAGGAAUUGACGG